rnacentral:ncRNA from 2 species
UUUGCUCAAUAGCAUCUCGGUUCUGAUGGGGAACAGCCAUCAGAGGUAACGGGGAAAGCCCGGUGUAAAUCCGGCACUGUCCCGCAGCUGUAAUGAAGCUCAUGCUUCCAAGUCAGAAUGCCCGCCGAAAUUACAACUAACUC